rnacentral:rRNA from 1 species
GACGAACGCUGGCGGCGUGCUUAACACAUGCAAGUCGAACGGUGAAGCGCCUUCCUUUUUGGUGGGUGUGGAUGAGUGGCGAACGGGUGAGUAACGCGUGAGUAACCUGCCCCCUUCUUCUGGAUAACCGCAUGAAAGUGUGGCUAAUACGGGAUAUUCUGGGUCUGUCGCAUGAUGGGUCUGGGAAAGAUAUUGUUUCGGUGGGGGAUGGGCUCGCGGCCUAUCAGCUUGUUGGUGGGGUGAUGGCCUACCAAGGCGGUGACGGGUAGCCGGCCUGAGAGGGUGGACGGUCACACUGGGACUGAGACACGGCCCAGACUCCUGCGGGAGGCAGCAGUGGGGAAUAUUGCACAAUGGGCGCAAGCCUGAUGCAGCGACGCCGCGUGAGGGAUGGAGGCCUUCGGGUUGUGAACCCCUUUCGCCAGUGAAGCAGGCCUGCCUCGUUUGUGGGUGGGUUGACGGUAGCUGGAUAAGAAGCGCCGGCUAACUACGUG